rnacentral:rRNA from 1 species
GACGAACGCUGGCGGCGUGCUUAACACAUGCAAGUCGAACGAAGUGGCGAACGGGUGAGUAAUACGUGGGUAACCUGCCCUCCUUUUUGGGAUAAGCCUUGGAAACGGGGUCUAAUACCGAAUAAAGGGGGAUGGGCUCGCGGCCUAUCAGCUUGUUGGUGGGGUGAUGGCCUAACAAGGCGGUGACGGGUAGCCGGCCUGAGAGGGUGACCGGCAACAGUGGGACGGAGAAACGGCCAAGACGAGGAAGGGGGGCAGAAGUGGGGGAUAUUGCAGAAUGGGCGAAAGCCUGAUGCAGCGACGCCGCGUGGGGGAUGAAGGCUUUCGGGUUGUAAACCUCUUUCGCUAUCGAAGGGGUAGGUGGAGAAGAAGCGCCGGCUAACUACGUGCCAGCCGCCGCGGUAAUAC